GUGUGCUUUGUCUGACUGGGCCACGCAGGCCCCAAACUUGUCCUGGACUCCAUAGCACAAGAUGUACACUACGAGUAAGUAAUAUACACACACAUAUCUUCACACGUAAGUAUGUAUCAUGGACACAUGUUAAAUGUAAGUACUUUUAUGAUACAUAUUUUUAUACUAGGUAAAUAGACGUUUUAUCUGUACACUUCUGUAUACUGUAUGUGCUGAGAUGAGUUUAUAUGUGCAUGUGUUAAGAAUAUAUAUAUGUAUAUAUAUACCAGAUCCUGCUUAAUUUUAACAGGCAUUGUUAUAGAAAUUUUUGACAUCAAUGGAGCAGUGAUACUUCUCCUUCAAUCUUGUAGUGUAAUGAGUUAUGUUAAUUGACUUCCCAAUACUCAAUUCUCUUUGAAUGCUUGGGAUUUUUCUUUUGGUACAAUUGUACUGGUUUUUUUUUUUCCUGGUACCAGGAAUCCAGUUCAGGACGUCGUGCUUGCCAGGCAGACCCUAUGGCCCUGAGCUACUCCCUCAGCCUCUUUUGUAUUUUUAAAAAAGUGAUUUUGGAUUUCAGUUGCCAUACUUUAUGUUCUGAUAUUUGUAAGUGGUUUGGAUCAGAGCCAAUAAUCCAGUUUGUUUAAUUAUGGACUUUUUCUUUGGUUUUCCUGAAUUUUAUGGUUAAUUUGAAUGUAAUCUUUAAACUCAUUUAGGGAGACCUCAGGGGAGCAAAUUUUACCAGGUCCUUUUUUGUAACUGGUGUUCAGUGUGAAUUUUAUGUGCAGAUAUCAUUUAAACUUAAGUAUCAUGAAGGCCACAGCCUUGUCUCCUACCCUUGCAUGCCUUUUAAGACUCGAUAAAGUUACCUGAGAUUACUUCAGUGUAUAAAGAAAUAUUUGUGUGAGAAAGAGAGAGAGAGAGAGAGAGAGAGAGAGAGAGAGAGAGAGAGAGAAAGAGAGAAAGAAAAUAACCUAGAGAAAGGGCACAGUGCCUUUUACAAUCUAGUUGCAGAGUGAUAAACCAUUAUUUCCUCCUUAUUGAAUUGGUCAGAGAAAAAUGCUAGCAGAUUGUGGAAGAGACUGCACAAGGUGCUAAGACCAGGGAUUGGGGAUCAUUUGGAGCUGUAAAUUUGUAUUAAUUCUGGUCUGUACUGACGGUUUUGACAGCACAGGUACAAUAAAAUUAGAUGCCAGAAUAGAUACCUGAGAGUGUUACAGGAUAUCUAAAGAGAAAAGAAAAUAUAAAUAGAAGGUUUUUAGUUUUGCAUACAAACUUUUAUUUAGCUACUAGUGGACUUGAUUGUUUAAAAAGAAUAAUUUCACCAUGAUUUUGGAUCCUGAGGGAAUAAACUACUCAUAUGUCAACAUGAAAGAUAUUUUAGGAUCACUGAAGAAGAGUAGAGAGUCAAAAAUUUUUGAAGUGUAUUAAUGUAAACUCUUCUGACAAGAGUUCAGAACAGUUCUGUUUUCCAAAAGUGAGACCAAUAAGCUGAAUUUAGGGUUUAUCGCUUUCAGAAUUAUAGUAGAGGGGCUGGCAGUUUAGUUCAGUAAUGCAGUGUUUGCCUGGCAAAUGUGAGGUCCUGAAUUUGAUUCCUUACCAAAAAAAGAA